CCCCUUCAUUUCAAUCCCAAUCUUCUUCACUCAACAUAUCACCAUCAUUUUCAGUAGGUGGUCUAACAACAAUAACUACAUUCCCUAAACACUCAUUAACCCCCAUUUCCUUCAAAAUCGAACCCCUUUGAACCUUUAAACCAACAUCAUUACCAUCAUCUUUUACCAAAUAAAACCCAUCAUCAUUCUCCACCUCCCUCUUACUCCUAUCAGCAACCACCAAAAUAGGCUCUUCCUUACACCACCUAUUAUUAGCCUUCCAUGGCAAAACUCUCGCAUCCAAAAACGACACAACAACGCCUUUCCCUAAAUUAACCACCGGUCCCCAAGCCGGUAACACCACCCAUUUCUCCCACCCUUUCUCCGCCACCACAAUACCAAACUCCCCUUCCUUUCUUAUCUCAGAAGGUGCUUCCAUAAUCACCCUUUCUCCUUCCUCAGCUUUACACACGGGCAAAACAACCACCGAGGUUGUCGUAUUUUGAUGGGAGAGGUGUUGGUGGUGGUCGGAAAGGUUGGUAUAGUUGUUUCUGUGGUUGUUGCUGUUGUUGUUGUUGUACUUGUCUUUGUUUUUUGCUGUGUGAUGAUGGGUUGUUGAGGACGGCUGAGAUUGAUUUAAAGCGGUAAAAAGAACGGUUGAGAUUGGAGGAAGAGGGUGGGAUAUUAAGAAAUUUUAGAUUUAGAGUGUUUACAGAACUGAUACAUGGUGAAAGCAUCUUGGGAAGUAGAUUGAAGAAUUGGUUAUGGUGUAGUAUUUGUGUUGAGUGCCUUAUCUGAUAGAUAUAGAUAGAUAGAUGUUUAUCAGUUUCUUUAGAUUUUACACUGAAAGAGGAGUGUUCACUUCUUUAGAUUUUUUUGUUUC
rnacentral:lncRNA from 1 species